UUUUAAUUUCCUUAAUCACUUCCGUUUGUCCGUUUCCGGUCCCGAGAUAAAACUCUUUUCUUCACGAGAUACUAUAGGUAACAGAAACUUUAACAUCCAACCUUUGAGGAAAAACAAAAUGUAUAUAUCAUAUCCAAUUUCUGUUUACAAGAUAACCGGAUUUUUUGUGCAGAUUAAUACAUGAGGAACGGAAGACCUUUUUGUUGCUAUAGUUUAUAGUAUAUUUUUGUUGUUGUUUGAUUGAAAUGAUUUCAUAGUUGAGUGGGGUUUUUUUCUUAUUAAUUACGUGUUUUAAAAAUAUAUACGGUAUUUUAUAUACAUACUUAUGUUUCCCGAUUAUAAAACAAAGGUUCAUAGUGGUUCUGUUUUCUUUUUCUAAGGAUAUGAUGUAUCUUUAAAUAUAUUUUGUAUAUAUAAUUGUGAGUGAUAUUUGAUGUUCGAACAAUAUAUUAAGCAAUAUUCAUCGUCUGUUUCUAAGCACAUAAUAAAGCAUAGCAAAGAUUGAUCAAUAAUAAAAAGAAAGUUAU
rnacentral:sRNA from 1 species